rnacentral:lncRNA from 1 species
CUACUCAUAUGAAUGACCUGACCCAAGAAAAAACCUCAAAAAAAAUCUAUCAUAUGGCUCCGAGUACUAGUAAAGGUUUUAAAAAAAGAAAAUAAUCAUCCAAAACCCAGGUUACUGCCUGUAAAUAGUUUUGCAUGUUAAGAGACUGAUAAUCUUCUCAGCAGUCGGCAUGCAUGGGAAACCAAAUUAUUUGCAACAAUGGAGCAAGAAUGAUGGCUGCAUCCCCCUAGCUAAGUGUAAUUUUAGAUUCUUCUCAUGACCAUACAAGAUGACUAGCCAGUGAUCUUUUAAGGAGUCUUGAUACCAAAGUAUUAGAUGCCAGGUAAGAGCGCAUGUGACUAAUUUAACUGAUCCACCUCAAAUGAAUGCAUGAGCUACUAUCCAAAGAUGACCAAGUAUUCUAUACAUGAGAAAGGAACUAGUAUAGAAAGGAACUAACACAGUGAAGACUGCCCAAGAAGAUUACAAUGCAAAUGUACUUAGCAGACACAGACAUGUAGGAUGAAAGUGAAAAAACCAGAAGAUAAUUAAAUCUAUUGAAUAUUGAAUACAAAAAAUAGACAUCAAUGGUCAGUUUAUCAAGUAAAACACUAUAGAAAUCCAUAAAAUAGAGAUGGCAUCAGCCAAGUUCAAACAGCAAGGCUUGAAAAUCCUGCAGAAAAAAAUGUUAUAUGGCCUCUUAUGUCCCAAACAUGCCUACAAACAGAGGGAACAUCAAUUUUUCAUAGAGGGGGCCUGCUAGAUACAGACAUAUAUCCCAUCAUACCAUAUCAAAAGGAUCUUCUUACUGUGCCAGCUGCGCAUAAAGCACUUCCGCCUGCUUUAGUGCUGAAAGAACAAAUUAUACGGCAGUCCGCUGCUAAAUUUUAGACAUGAGGGUUAACAGUCACAUCAAAUGGUUAAAGUUCAAUGAAGCAGAACAGCAUGAACCAGACAACAUCGAAUGAGAUAAAACAUAAGAUAAAUUGCUCCCAUUGUGAAAUCAACAGUCAUAGUACAAGUUACAUGUUCUUCUCCUCAAAUUUUUCUUGUAGUGAGUGUAAGGAGGGAAACAGUCCUUGCUUAAACGAGAGAGAGAGAGAGAGAGAGAGAGAGAGAGAGAGAGAGAGAGAGAGAGAGAGAGAGAGAGA